rnacentral:tRNA from 1 species
GCCCCGGUAGUGUAGUGGCCUAUCAUACAGCCCUGUCGAGGCUGUGACCCGGGUUCGAAUCCCGGCCGGGGCG